AUUCUUUUAGUAUUAAUCAGUACGACUGACUUCCAAUCAGUUAGUUUCGGUCUAGCCCGAAAAAGAAUA
rnacentral:tRNA from 2 species